rnacentral:rRNA from 2 species
GAGAGAAGCUUGCUUCUCUUGAGAGCGGCGGACGGGUGAGUAAUGCCUAGGAAUCUGCCUGGUAGUGGGGGAUAACGUCCGGAAACGGACGCUAAUACCGCAUACGUCCUACGGGAGAAAGCAGGGGACCUUCGGGCCUUGCGCUAUCAGAUGAGCCUAGGUCGGAUUAGCUAGUUGGUGAGGUAAUGGCUCACCAAGGCGACGAUCCGUAACUGGUCUGAGAGGAUGAUCAGUCACACUGGAACUGAGACACGGUCCAGACUCCUACGGGAGGCAGCAGUGGGGAAUAUUGGACAAUGGGCGAAAGCCUGAUCCAGCCAUGCCGCGUGUGUGAAGAAGGUCUUCGGAUUGUAAAGCACUUUAAGUUGGGAGGAAGGGUACUUACCUAAUACGUGAGUAUUUUGACGUUACCGACAGAAUAAGCACCGGCUAACUCUGUGCCAGCAGCCGCGGUAAUACAGAGGGUGCAAGCGUUAAUCGGAAUUACUGGGCGUAAAGCGCGCGUAGGUGGUUCGUUAAGUUGGAUGUGAAAUCCCCGGGCUCAACCUGGGAACUGCAUCCAAAACUGGCGAGCUAGAGU